GCACAGGAUGGACAGGACGGAGCCUCUUUUAAUGUCAUCAUGAGGACAAAAAAAACAACAACAACAAAAGACAGGAACAGAAUCAGACUCAGUGGGCCUGCGAUCAUGAGGCUCGUCCCGGUUUCUGAUCCAACUGUGAAGUCCACGAAGACGCGCGGAGAGCAGGAGGGAGGACACGCGCCUCCACACAGGUCAUCACCGCCAUCAUCACCAUCAUCAUCACCUUCAUCAGCCGCGGAGAUCAAGUGGAAACUGAUUCCACGUUUAUAAAAACAAACUCUGGGCCCGAGAUGUUUUGAAUAUGACGCAGCAUGAAAAAGAGGGGAAAGUGUUAGAUGUGGGGAUGUGAGGAGAUUCUGUGGGACUCAGCUGGAUGUGGUUGCACUUGGUCCCAUCUGACUAACAAGGUCCCCCGUUUGUCUGCUGCUCACUGGCCUUUACCGUGCUGGGGGGCUCUGCGGGAGGACUUGCGGACGACGUGAGAGAAGCCAGGCCUCCGGACCAGGGGGGCUCGAGUGGAGACGACCAGGAGGCUCUGCAGGGC